rnacentral:rRNA from 1 species
CAGUAGCCGCGGUAAUACGUAGGGUGCGAGCGUUAAUCGGAAUUACUGGGCGUAAAGCGUGCGCAGGCGGUUGUGUAAGACAGUUGUGAAAUCCCCGGGCUCAACCUGGGAACUGCAUCUGUGACUGCAUAGCUAGAGUACGGUAGAGGGGGAUGGAAUUCCGCGUGUAGCAGUGAAAUGCGUAGAUAUGCGGAGGAACACCGAUGGCGAAGGCAAUCCCCUGGACCUGUACUGACGCUCAUGCACGAAAGCGUGGGGAGCAAACAGGAUUAGAUACCCGCGUAGUCCCUGUCUCUUAUAC